AAUUAUUAAUUACACCGUCCAGUUUCUUCUUGACCUCGAUUAAUUUAACUGUGCAGUAAUUAUAUCAUGUUACUAUUAUUAUACACAAAUAAUAUAUUUGUGCAUAAUAUAUUAUAUCCAAUAUAUUUCAGGUCGUUGUUCCAUCGCCUGCAUGAUUAAAUAUUUCACCACAAACUACGUUACAUUGUCAAUCGGUUGUUCCCUAACAGGACAAGGAAGAGACAAGGGCAAAGCUUGCAGCCACUCAAGAACAAGCGCAGAAAUAUUACAACAAACAUGCACAAUAUUUACCUGAGAUACUUGGAGGACAACAUGUGCAUACUCAAGAUCCUAUAACUAAAACAUGGAUCCCAGCACAAGUUGUCAGUAGAGCUGAAACUCCAAGAUCGUACAUUAUAGAAACUGAAUCUGGUAGGCAGCUGAGACGUAAACGGGCCCACAUCCGCCCAACACCAAAGCUAUCGAGAAUAACACGCGCAACACCUGCAGCAUCAGUGACAACACCAACAAGAACCACAACAUGCACAGCAGAUGACGGCACAAACAGAAUCCGUGUUUCCACAGAAUCAUCACCCCAACGGACACCAACCACCCAUCAGCAGCCCAACGACACACCUCAGACACCAGUGCAGAGAACAAGAUCCACCGAUUCGAUACCGUUAAAAGAGAAAAAUAAUAAAACAACUACUUCUGCUGGAUUAGGAAGCAGAAAACCAUGUGUGUGGGCAGAAUAAUCCCACGGUUUCUGCUGCAGGAUUGCCACCCUUGCGCUGACAAUCCAUUAGUAUAAGGGAGAUUACUUCUAUUUUUUCAUUGCCAAAAUAUCCUUUUUUUUUUCAAGAAGGGAUGUUACACUUUCAUAUCUAUGUGCAUGCGUAGGUAUACGUAUGUAUGAAUACAUCCCCACUAGUAGUACUAUUUUGUUAAGCGCAUCUACUAAGCUGUAUGAACUGUGUCUAGGGCAGAUACGCACAGUGUGUAUCACUCCGCUAUAGAUACUGUUUGUAAACAUGUCAAGUAAAACACGUACAAUCAUAAUCAUGUCUUCAGUGUGUGUGCAAAAAAAAUCUAUUUUUACAUAAAAAUUUUUUUUCUUUGUUGGUAAUUCGCAUUUAGAAAGUUGAUCCAGGUAAAUAUUGUGCAUGUUGCAAUAUUUGUGUGCUUGUUCUUGAGUGGCUGCUAGCUUUGCCCUUGUCUCUUCCUGGUCAAUAGGAGGUUGGAUCUUAGUUGGCAGGGUGGUCUUAUAUUUCCUACCAUUCAGCAUUUCUGCUGGGCAUUUCAUGUCUGCUCGUAGGGACAAAAGAGCCAGGUGUGAAUCUUCCUUGGUUUCUCAGCAUUUGACAAAUGUUCUCUCGACGGUCUGCACCUGUCUUUCAAUGAAUCCAUGACCUUUGGGGUAGUGUGGAGAUGAGGUUACAAUGUUGAACCCAUACUCAUUGGCUGGCUUUUUGAAUUCUUGAGAUGUGAACUGGGUUCCAUUGUCACAAAUGAUCUGCUCUGGUAUUCCUUGCUCUGCUACAAGUCUUCGAGCCACUGUAGUUAUUGUUUUGGCUCUCAGGUCUUUCACUUUUCUCACAAAUGGGAAUUUGGAGUAGUAGCAGACCAUAAUCAAGUACAAUUCUUGGUUCGUUGUGAACAGAUCUACUCCAAUAGUUUGCCAUGGCCUUCUUGGAAUGUCACUGGAUAUCAUUUCCUCCUUUCGUUGUGUGUUCCUGUACUUUUGACAGAUGUGGCAUGCAGAAACCAUCUUUUCUAUAUCUUUGUACAUGCCUACCCAAUAUACAGCUGACUUGGCUCAGAGUUUGCAUUUUUCCAUUCCCAGAUGCCCUUGGUGGAUCUUUUCUAGAAUUUCUUUUUGCAUUGAUUUGGGUAUAAUUAUUCGGGAUCCAGCCAUCAGGAUUCCAUUUUCCACUGCUAUGUCAUCGUGGAUGGCCCAAUAUUCACGAAUGAGGGGCUGCACCUGAUGUCUCUUCUCUGGCCACCCCUGAAUCACCAUCUGAGUAAGGAGCUGGAGUUCUUCGUCUUUGCUGGUCUCUUUGAUUUGUUCCAGCUUUGUGUUUGUCACAUUUACAAUGUGGUGGACCUUGACACUUAGUCCUUCCAUCUCCUGUUUAUCAUGUGAGGAUAGUCUGGCUGGUGAUUUUGUGAGGUUUUUGAUAGGCAUAUUUCUGUCAAUCCUGCUUGGAGCUGCCUUCACUUCACCGUUGACUGACACAAUAUUAAGCUUUUGACAGGUAUCAAGUCCAAGAAUUGCAGGUCCUGUUCUUGCGACAUAAAAAGAACACUUGAUUAUUUUUCCUUUGUGUGUCCCUGUAAUGGUUGCUUUGGCCAGUUGUGGAAUCCUGGUACCUCCUUAUGCAGUGAUGAUUCCUUCUUUGACUUUAUCCUCUUGUAUCAUGUGUUCUGGGAACAUCUUUUUGUAGAGGUUGAUAGGUAAGAUAUUACUCUGGGCUCCAGUGUCAAUCUUCAGCUUUAAGUCAAUGAUAAUUCGUUUCUUGCCUGACUUCCUUUGAAUUUGUAUUGUUGUAUAUGCCUCAUUUUUUUUCUGGUUGUCAUUUCCCAUCUCAUGCACAUUUAUUGUGCCGACUGCCAAGAAUUACUCCUCUGAGGUGUUUUCUUCCAGAUGUUGGGCAUGUACAUCUCUUUAUCUUCUCUUACCACUCCACUUUGAAAAUUGGGGCUUAUAUUUUUGAGAUUUUGCUAGUCUACACAUUUUUCCCCAGUGGUUGGGUUUUCCACAUGCUUUGCAGUGUGUACCGAAUGCAGGACAUUUCCUCAGGUCAUUGAACUCAUGCUCUGUACCACAGUACUGGCAUGUUCUCUGUUUGUGGGUAUGUUUCGUCUUAUGUCUAGAUACAAUAUCUACACUGCUGCCUACUGUGUUUGUUUGUAAAGUAAGUGAUGCCAUUUGUUUGGUAGUGGCUUCGAAUGCUCUUGCAGUAUCUACUGCCUCUGCCAGCUGGAGAGCAUCCUUACCGAUGAGAGAUUUCUGGACUUCUUUAUGAGCACACCCCCAUAGAAGUUGAUCAGCAAUCCUUUCGUCCUUUUCUUUGAAUUUGCACUUCUCGGCAACAUUCUUUAGUCUGGACAGGAAGUUGUCAGUUGUUUCUUGUGGGUCUUGUUUCAGGCCCUGGAAUUCAUACCUAUGAAUUCUAUGGUUUGAUCUGGGCUCUAGGUGCCUUUCAAAUUUCUCUAAAAGUAUGUCUGGAUUAUUGCAAUCCGAUUCUGACAUAUCCCAACUAUUGAAUAGGUCUAGACCCUUCUCUCCCGUCCAUAAAAGGAUGUAGCUUCCCUUUUCAUCGGCAGUUGUACCUUUAAGGAAGCUUUUGAAAGCCAGUUGAGUUUUCUGUUUAAAUUUCUUGAACGCUUCCACGAUAUCAUCCACGUACCAGUUCAUGGUCGGAUGUAGAUUCAUCUGUACGGCGACGGAGGCUGCCAUUUUUUUGAUCCUCGUGUGUGUGUCCCCGAAGACGAAGCAAUAUUCAGUUUGUUAAAUUUUAGGUUUGUUGUUUUCCUGUUUUGUUGUAAAGGCACUGUUUUCGAUUAGUAUUUAUUGCUGCCACCAUGUUAUGUAUUAUUUUGUUCUUGAUGGGAUAAUAAACAACUCACUGAAGGCAUUGUUA